rnacentral:miRNA from 2 species
UGCCAAAGGAGAUUUGUCCGG